AGACCUCAGCUCAACUGGAGACCAGCAUGUCUGCGUGUAGCCCAUUGCCCCAUACUUCCUGUAAUCCCAGAAAGAGGAACAGAGAAAAUGAGAUCAUUAAAGAGAAUAGAAUGUAGACUGCCACAUCAAAUAAGAAGAAGUGAGAAGCCUGUGUUUUCAUCCCAGUGGACCAAGAGGAAAGGAGGAAAGAAGCAAGGAAGGAAAGCAGUUUUACCUUUUUCACUAAUCCCAUAUUUUUCAGUGAACACCACUCUUUUAACUUCUCUGGUAAAUUCCAAAACCUGCUUUCUGGAUAGUUCCAUGUGAACUUAUCACCACUGCACCAUAUCUAGCAUACUAUGUGCUACAUGCUAAAUUAAGUCUCUCUUAUCCAAGAA
ensembl:lincRNA 1700044K03Rik RIKEN cDNA 1700044K03 gene